GAUGAACGCUGGCGGCGUGCCUAAUACAUGCAAGUCGAGCGAACGGAUGAGAAGCUUGCUUCUCUGAUGUUAGCGGCGGACGGGUGAGUAACACGUGGAUAACCUACCUAUAAGACUGGGAUAACUUCGGGAAACCGGAGCUAAUACCGGAUAAUAUUUUGAACCGCAUGGUUCAAAAGUGAAAGACGGUCUUGCUGUCACUUAUAGAUGGAUCCGCGCUGCAUUAGCUAGUUGGUAAGGUAACGGCUUACCAAGGCAACGAUGCAUAGCCGACCUGAGAGGGUGAUCGGCCACACUGGAACUGAGACACGGUCCAGACUCCUACGGGAGGCAGCAGUAGGGAAUCUUCCGCAAUGGGCGAAAGCCUGACGGAGCAACGCCGCGUGAGUGAUGAAGGUCUUCGGAUCGUAAAACUCUGUUAUUAGGGAAGAACAUAUGUGUAAGUAACUGUGCACAUCUUAACGGUACCUAAUCAGAAAGCCACGGCUAACUACGUG
rnacentral:rRNA from 1 species